GGGCCUUUAGCUCAGUUGGUUAGAGCGCCGCAUUUGCAAUGCGGAGGUCACCGGUUCGAAUCCGGUAAGGUCCA
rnacentral:tRNA from 1 species